AUUAUGUCUAGUUUCUUAGCCACUAGAAAAAAUACUUAAAAGGUCAUCCAGAAUAAGCAGGACAACUUUCAUAUUCUUUCCAGUUAAAAGAUUCAUGAAUGGUUCUGUGGCAUUAGAGUAGACAAGACAGACCAUCUGUUCAAGUGUUUCCCCACCUGCAGGGUUAGUGACCACCCAUAGUUUCAUUUGGUACCUUAAAACCUUCCUUUGAGAAUGUGCCAGCAAGGAAUGUCAUCUGGCCUUGACAGCCAGCUAUGAUACUUGACAUUGCCUACACAGUCUUCUACUGAAUGUUACUUUUGGCUUCAGUUAGUGGCCUGGGAAAGACUGCACAUACUCCUACAUCUAUUUUUACAACCUGAAAUUAUACAUCUGUCCCAGUGGCAGUACUUUCCUUAGCUCUUAAGAGAGGAGUCACAAUUGGCCAUUCUGUAAGCUUCUGGAAGCUUUACAGACUGUUUUUCACAACCACUUCAAUGAAUUCCUUUGGACCAUCAGUAAGGUAAAAAAUAGCUGGUAAGUAUCUGCUAAUAUUUCUGGAUCAUGAUGAUGCAGGGGAUGAAAACUGAAAAGUAGAAAGAAUUUGUUCAACAAACUUCUUAGAACAAACAUUUUAAAGUGACCCGGCUAGAUUUCUAAAGAUGGAAAUGGUGCACCAAAAGUCUGAAUAUUUUUUUAAUGUUCACUUGGAAAGUAUUUCAGACCUACAAAAAGGUUCCAAUAGUAUGCAUGGUUCCUUUUAUUCAUCUUCCCCAGAGGCUGACAUCUUGCAUAACCACAGAACAGUCGUCAAAGCCAGAAAAUUAAUAUUCAUAAAACAAAAUU